rnacentral:rRNA from 1 species
GGAAUUUUCCGCAAUGGGCGAAAGCCUGACGGAGCAAUACCGCGUGAGGGAAGACUGCCUAUGGGUUGUAAACCUCUUUUUUCAGGGAGGAAUAAAAUGACGUGUACCUGAAGGAUAAGCAUCGGCUAACUCCGUGCCAGCAGCCGCGGUAAGACGGAGGAUGCAAGUGUUAUCCGGAAUCACUGGGCGUAAAGCGUCUGUAGGUGGUUUAAUAAGUCAACUGUUAAAUCUUGAGGCUCAACUUCAAAAUCGCAGUCGAAACUAUUAGACUAGAGUAUAGUAGAGGUAAAGGGAAUUUCCAGUGGAGCGGUGAAAUGCGUAGAUAUUGGAAAGAACACCGAUGGCGAAAGCACUUUACUGGGCUAUUACUAACACUCAGAGACGAAAGCUAGGGUAGCAAAUGGGAUUAGAUACCCCAGUAGUC